UACAGAGGGUGCAAGCGUUACUCGGAAUUACUGGGCGUAAAGCGUGCGCAGACGGUUGCGUAAGUCAGAUGUGAAAGCCCCGGGCUCAACCUGGGAAUUGCAUUUGAGACUGCGUAGCUAGGGUGCGGAAGAGGGAAGCGGAAUUUCCGGUGUAGCGGUGAAAUGCGUAGAUAUCGGAAGGAACACCAGUGGCGAAAGCGGCUUCCUGGUCCAGCACCGACGUUCAGGCACGAAAGCGUGGGGAGCAAACAGG
rnacentral:rRNA from 1 species